AUGCUUCUGAUAAUAAUCUUCAUAGUGAUUAUUGUGUUAUUUGUUAAAAUGGUGUUGAAUAAUAAAACCUCCUUCAAAAAGGCUCUACAAGAUAAGGUACUAAUUCAAAAGAAGGUGGUGGUGGUUGUUUUUAAUUCCAACAUGCUUCUGAGAGAUCCACUUAAACAUCUGCAAUAACAGUGGCAAAUCUUUUAGCAGACCAAUGAAAUUUUUCUUCUUAUUGUGUUUUGAGUAGUCAAAUUGCACCCAGUAUUGUAAAAUCAAAGUGCUUUGUUGCUAGGCAAUUCCAUGAAUCGUCCCAAAUCAGGUUUUAACCAGAUUGAUAAAAGUGUUACAUCCUUAUUUUGUUUUUUUACCAGAACACAAUUUUUGGUUGAGCAACAAACAUUUUUUAUAGCAAUAAAUAAAUCUUGCCCCAAUGAUAAUAUUUAAUGAUAUGCAUAAUUAUUGUUGUAACGCAUGGGAAUCAGAUAUAAGUGAUGGAAAGCCUGAGUGAUGACUGCAUUUGGCAUUGUGUUGACACUGCAGAUAAAAGCAGCUUUGCAAUCAGCAUGGAGGAAGAUGGAACAGGAAGAAGCUGCUCUGAACUGCCUCCAGAAACGCCUACAUUCACGUCCAAGGCACUGGCUGUUGAGUUUCCCUGACUUGAGAAACGACAUUGCUAUUGGCCGACAUCUCCCAAGGAGACUAAUACAACAGUCAAUAAAUGACACGAGAUAUGAGCAAGAAAAGACACUUGUUAUUGGAAGAAUGCAAGCCCCCUUUCAAUGAUCAGGCCCAGAAGUGCUGCAAUAGAACAGCAGUCACAUCCCACCCCCUCCUGACUUGAUCUCUUCAAGGUGCUGCCACGCUGACUCCGGACUGACUGAUGCCAAGUAACUACAAAUUACCUAACAAUGCCACACACUGGACACCGUAGCUCAUAACCUACAGUUCAACCAUGCAUAGCCAAUAGCUAAUCAAUGUUACUUCUGUAAAUCAAUACGAAUUGUAUCAGCCCACUCCUUGUCCACCUUUGCACGUGUAGCAAAGGCUGAAAGGUGCACUUCUCAAGACAGCUUAGAAGGAUUUCUCCCGCAGUUGUUCUCACCUUAGCUCAAGUAAACACCUUCAAAUUAUAUUUUGUGCCUCAAUUUCUUCCUUUAGGUGAACAGAAAUUCAGCACCUUAUUUUAAAAUAGGCUUUGUGUUAGAUGAUUUUGCCCAACCAUAGGCUAAUGUAUGUGUUCUGAGCACAUUUAAGGUAGGCUUGGCUACGCUGUGGUGUUCAAUAUAUGUGGUAUAUUUAAUGCAUCUUUGAUUUUAAUAUUUUCAACUUAGAAUGCAUUUGUCAAUUAAUGUAAUUCCAUGGUAAGUCAGGGAGCUUCUGUGUACUUCUUAUUAUAAAUCACAGUAUCACAGUCAUUAAAAAUGGAAUUAGAUUAAAUGGAAGCCAUACUGGAGUAAGUGGAUACUUAAUCCAAUGUAACGUCUCCCGAUAAGAAGAGGAAAUUUGGACACUGAGACCCACAGGGAGAACACUACAGGAGGUUGGAAGCAGAGACUGCAAUGAUGAGCCUGCAGGACAAGGUGCCCUAAGGAUCACCAGUGGGAAACAAGAAUCAAGUCCUGCACCUGGGCCGCAUAGCAAGAUUUCAUCUCAAUAAAGAAAAAAAAAAAUGUUGUAAGUAGCCA
rnacentral:lncRNA from 13 species